rnacentral:tRNA from 1 species
ACUACUUUGGCAGAAAAAUGCAAUAAAUUUAGAAUUUAUUUAUGUAACAAAUGUUACAGGUGGUA